AUGAGUAAUGAUUCCUUCCUAAUCUGUUCUUGGAAUGUAUGAGGACUUGGUGAUAAUGAUAAGUGCACCGACGUGCUUGCUGAACUAAUCGCGACCAAACCACACAUCACACCCCUACAAGAAUCAAAACUCGACUCUCUUCUCGACACUAAAAUGAAAUCCUUCCUCCCACGCCAGACCGACCACGUUUUCUCCUUGCCAGCGGUCGGCUCCGCGGGUGGCACCAUCUCGGCCAUCAACUCUGCCUACUUCCAAGUCGUGUCCUUCUCCCACUUAACAUUUUCAUCCACACUAAUCCUCCAAUCAACCGCCUGCGCGCGCCACAUUGCCAUUACUAACAUUUACGCUCCCUCCUCGCGCUCACUCAAGCCAGCUUUCCUAGACGAACUCACCUCCAUCGCACAACCAGAUGACACCCCUUGGCUCAUCGCUGGCGACUUCAACCUUAUCCGUUUUCCCUCUGAGAAAAAUAAUCCCGCCUUCCACUCCGCCGAAGCCAACGCAUUCAAUCAAACUCUAGAUACCCUAGCUCUCAUCGAAUUGCCCCUGCUCGAUCGUAGGUUUACUUUGUCCAACAACCGUGCCUCCCCCACCCUAGAACGACUAGAUCGCGUCUUC
rnacentral:rRNA from 1 species